rnacentral:rRNA from 1 species
ACGGGAGGCAGCAGUGGGGAAUAUUGGACAAUGGGGGAAACCCUGAUCCAGCGACGCCGCGUGAGUGAAGAAGUAUUUCGGUAUGUAAAGCUCUAUCAGCAGGGAGAUAAUGACGGUACCUGACUAAGAAGCCCCGGCUAACUACGUGCCAGCAGCCGCGGUAAUACGUAGGGGGCAAGCGUUAUCCGGAUUUACUGGGUGUAAAGGGAGCGUAGACGGAAGGCCAAGUCUGAUGUGAAAGCCCGGGGCUCAACCCCGGGACUGCAUUGGAAACUGGUCAUCUGGAGUGCAGGAGGGGUAAGCGGAAUUCCUAGUGUAGCGGUGAAAUGCGUAGAUAUUAGGAGGAACACCGGUGGCGAAGGCGGCUUACUGGACCGUAACUGACGUUGAGGCUCGAAAGCGUGGGGAGCAAACAGGAUUAGAUACCCUGGUA